rnacentral:snRNA from 1 species
GUUUCCUUCAGUGGUACAGAUAUUGAAGUUGGAAUAAUACAAAAAAAAGGGUUAGCACGGUGCUUGUUCAAGGGUGACAAGCAAAUUCAUGAAGCAUCUCUUAUACCU